CGGUGGAGCAUGUGGUUUAAUUCGAUGCAACGCGAAGAACCUUACCAGGUCUUGACAUCCAACGAAUCCUUCUGAAGGAAGGAGUGCCUUCGGGAGCGUUGAGACAGGUGGUGCAUGGUUGUCGUCAGCUCGUGUCGUGAGAUGUUGGGUUAAGUCCCGCAACGAGCGCAACCCUUGCUAUUAGUUGCUAACAGGUUAAGCUGAGCACUCUAAUGGGACUGCCGGUGACAAGCCGGAGGAAGGUGGGGAUGACGUCAAAUCAUCAUGCCCUUUAUGACCUGGGCUACACACGUGCUACAAUGGAUGGUACAGAGAGCAGCGAGGCAGCGAUGUGGAGCGAAUCUCAAAAAGCCAUUCUCAGUUCGGAUUGGAGUCUGCAACUCGACUCCAUGAAGUCGGAAUCGCUAGUAAUCGCGAAUCAGCAUGUCGCGGUGAAUGCGUUCCCGGGCCUU
rnacentral:rRNA from 1 species